GACGAACGCUGGCGGCGUGCUUAACACAUGCAAGUCGAACGGAAAGGCCCUGCUUGCAGGGUGCUCGAGUGGCGAACGGGUGAGUAACACGUGGGUGAUCUGCCCCUUACUUUGGGAUAAGCCUGGGAAACUGGGUCUAAUACUGGAUAGGACCAUGCUGUAGGUGGUGUGGUGGAAAGAUUAGUUUCGGUAAGGGAUGAGCUCGCGGCCUAUCAGCUUGUUGGUGGGGUAAUGGCCUACCAAGGCGUCGACGGGUAGCCGGCCUGAGAGGGUGGACGGCCACAUUGGGGCUGAGAUACGGCCCAGACUCCUACGGGAGGCAGCAGUGGGGAAUAUUGCACAAUGGGCGCAAGCCUGAUGCAGCGACGCCGCGUGGGGGAUGACGGCCUUCGGGUUGUAAACUCCUUUCAGCCAUGACGAAGCCCUUGUGGUGACGGUAGUGGUAGAAGAAGCACCGGCUAACUACGUG
rnacentral:rRNA from 1 species